rnacentral:sRNA from 12 species
GCGCAAUGCGUUAGGGCAUCUCAGUGCAGAACCAAAACUGCCAAAGUGAGCGGCGCACCAUAGAAGCACAGGGCCGUUUGUGUGGCACAGCGUCAGGCAAGCGUGUGUACUGGCACCGCCCAGGUCAAAAGGGGCACGUCACCAUAAGGCAAGCAAGCCAAUUACGUACUUAUGGGGCCUGUGUCUGCAAUGCGUUCUGGUAAACAAAUUUGGGAGGAGGGUGUCCGCAACGGCCUGCGGGCAUCCUUUU